rnacentral:rRNA from 1 species
GGGAACAUACCCUUUUCUACGGAAUAGCUCUGGGAAACUGGAAUUAAUACCGUAUACGCCCUACGGGGGAAAGAUUUAUCGGGGAAGGAUUGGCCCGCGUUGGAUUAGCUAGUUGGUGGGGUAAAGGCCUACCAAGGCGACGAUCCAUAGCUGGUCUGAGAGGAUGAUCAGCCACAUUGGGACUGAGACACGGCCCAAACUCCUACGGGAGGCAGCAGUGGGGAAUAUUGGACAAUGGGCGCAAGCCUGAUCCAGCCAUGCCGCGUGAGUGAUGAAGGCCUUAGGGUUGUAAAGCUCUUUCACCGAUGAAGAUAAUGACGGUAGUCGGAGAAGAAGCCCCGGCUAACUUCGUGCCAGCAGCCGCGGUAAUACGAAGGGGACUAGCGUUGUUCGGAAUUACUGGGCGUAAAGCGCACGUAGGCGGAUAUUUAAGUCAGGGGUGAAAUCCCAGAGCUCAACUCUGGAACUGCCUUUGAUACUGGGUAUCUUGAGUAUGGAAGAGGUAAGUGGAAUUGCGAGU